rnacentral:lncRNA from 10 species
CUUUUCUAAUUGCAAAUGGAACUAUUCUCCAAGUAAGGGAGAGCCAUGGUAACCUGCCCCUGCCUUCUACCUCGUCUCUGUGUGUGGCAUCCUGGAGCCAUGUUUCCACCAACGUCUUGACUGUGGCAGAUCUGAGAAACUCUACAUUAUACACAAAUGUUCUCUGGCCCCAGAGAUUAUCGCAGUACAUUGGGUGAGGGUAAGGGGUGAUGAUUCAGGAAGCCAGAAGGCUUGUGGCAGAAUGUCUUCAUUUUGCUGGAACAUCAUGAAAAACUACCUGAUCAGAGUGUCCAUAUGUAAAGAGUUGUAGCAAGUAUACAUGUGUGAGGAGGAAGUAAUUCUCUUUCAAAAAAUCAAGGAAAGGGAGGCAGGAAAAUGAAGUAAUUAGGAGUGUAAAUAGAGAUUAAGCUACAUUUAUACUUUAGUGUUCUCAUUUCAUACUUGUGUGACUUUGGGCAAGGUACUUACCCCUCUCAUUCUUGGUUAUCUCAUAUGUAAAAUGGUGAUAAUAUUGUCAUUUAGGAUUUCAGAGAAAAUGAAACAAGACAGUGUAUCUAAAGUGCUUAGAUGGUUCCUGACUCCAAAAAGUUUUGGUUUUUAUUAAGAUACUGCAAGCCUGCCUUUGACCACUGAUUACUUCUGCCUGAGUUGGAGAGAAGUCAUGUUUGUAUAAUAUGUGAUACUGCAUAUAUGAACACAGAAUUUCUUAUUAGUCCCAGGAAAUAUAUUUUGGUAGUUAGAUAUUUAAAAAAAAAUUAGAAUUAUUUCUGGGCUAUCCUUUAAGAUAAUAUUUCAAAAGUUACGUACAUUUCAUACUUUAUUUUCUAUUGUCAUUUCAAUUAUUGUUCAAUUGUCUCUCAAACAAGAUUUUUAAAAAUAUACUACCAGUUCAUUAAUUGAAAUAUUUUCUUGAAUAGAGUGUAAAUGAAUAAAUAUAAUUAUUCAAA